rfam:Ornithorhynchus anatinus chromosome 4, whole genome shotgun sequence.
AUCCUCUUAGGGUCGUACCUGGAGAGCUUCCAGUACUCUACCAGUCUCGAUUAUGGGAGGGAGAGUCGAGCAGAGGCCUAUCCAUUCGAUUCCUAGCUUGGUCAGUGGCUAACGAGUGGAAGGCAAUCUGCUGCAAGU